rnacentral:rRNA from 1 species
GACAGAGGGUGCAAACGUUGUUCGGAAUUACUGGGCGUAAAGCGCAUGUAGGCGGCAACGCAAGUCGGGCGUGAAAUCCCACGGCUCAACUGGGCGGGGUCAGCGGAUACGGUGUGGCUCGAGCAAGCUAGGGGGCAAUGGAAUUCCCGGUGUAGUGGUGGAAUGCGUAGAUAUCGGGAGGAACACCAGUGGCGAAGGCGGUUGCCUGGAGCUUUGCUGACGCUGAGGCGCGAAAGCGUGGGGAGCGAGCCGG